rnacentral:rRNA from 1 species
GACGAACGCUGGCGGCGUGCUUAACACAUGCAAGUCGAACGCUGAAGCUCAGCUUUUGUUGGGUGGAUGAGUGGCGAACGGGUGAGUAACACGUGAGUAACCUGCCCCCUUCUUUGGGAUAACGCCCGGAAACGGGUGCUAUACUGGGUAUUUACUUGUCUUUGCAUGGGGGUUGGUGGAAAGGGUUUUUCUGGUGGGGGGUGGGCUCGCGGCCUAUCAGCUUGUUGGUGGGGUGAUGGCCUACCAAGGCUUUGACGGGUAGCCGGCCUGAGAGGGUGACCGGUCACAUUGGGACUGAGAUACGGCCCAGACUCCUACGGGAGGCAGCAGUGGGGAAUAUUGCACAAUGGGCGCAAGCCUGAUGCAGCGACGCCGCGUGAGGGAUGGAGGCCUUCGGGUUGUGAACCUCUUUCGCUCAUGGUCAAGCCGCAACAAUGGUUGUGGUGAGGGUAGUGGGUAAAGAAGCGCCGGCUAACUACGUG